GGUGUAGCGUUGAAAUGCGUAGAGAUCUGGAGGAAUACCGAUGGCGAAGGCAGCCAUCUGGCCUAAUAUCUGACGCUGAGGUACGAAAGCAUGGGGAGCAAAACAGGAUUAGAUACCCUGGUAGUCCAUGCCGUAAAACGAUGUCUACUAGCCGUUGGGGCCCUUGAGGCGUGGCUUCCGGASUAACGCGUUAAGUCGACCGCCUGGGAGUACGCCGCAAGGUUAAAACUCAAAUGAAUUGACGGGGGCCCGCACAAGCGG
rnacentral:rRNA from 1 species